GUGUGUGUGUCUGUGUGUGUGUAUGUCAGUAUGCCUGUGUGUGUGUGUGUCAGUUAUACUGACACACACAGACAUACUGACACUCACUGACAGACAG